rnacentral:rRNA from 1 species
CAACUUUCAGCAACGGAUCUCUUGGCUCUCGCAUCGAUGAAGAACGCAGCGAAAUGCGAUAAGUAAUGUGAAUUGCAGAAUUCAGUGAAUCAUCGAAUCUUUGAACGCACCUUGCGCUCCUUGGUAUUCCGAGGAGCAUGCCUGUUUGAGUGUCAUGGU